GACAGAGGGUGCAAACGUUGUUCGGAAUUACUGGGCGUAAAGCGCGUGUAGGCUGCUUCGCAAGUCGGGUGUGAAAGCCCUGGGCUCAACCUAGGAAGUGCACUCGAAACUGCGAAGCUUGAGUCCUGGAGAGGAAGGCGGAAUUCUCGGUGUAGAGGUGAAAUUCGUAGAUAUCGAGAGGAACACCGGUGGCGAAGGCGGCCUUCUGGACAGUGACUGAUGCUGAGACGCGAAAGCGUGGGGAGCAAACAGG
rnacentral:rRNA from 1 species